UACGUAGGGUGCAAGCGUUGUCCGGAAUUAUUGGGCGUAAAGAGCUCGUAGGCGGUCUGUCGCGUCUGCUGUGAAAAUCAGGGCUCAACCCUGGACCUGCAGUGGGUACGGGCAGACUAGAGUGCGGUAGGGGGAGAUCGGAAUUCCUGGUGUAGCGGUGAAAUGCGCAGAUAUCAGGAGGAACACCGGUGGCGAAGGCGGAUCUCUGGGCCGUAACUGACGCUGAGGAGCGAAAGCAUGGGGAGCGAACAGG
rnacentral:rRNA from 1 species